AUGUCAAUGGUUAACAGAACCUGGACUGACUGCCUUCUGUCAGUCCCUCAGAAACCAAGGACACAAAUGAGUUGUUCGGACUGGAUGAGGAACCCUAGAGGGAAAGGUCCCACAGUGGGAGGCCACACUGGGGGCCUUGGCCAGCUCCUGCCUAAUGUAUGUCCUGCUGGGAGUGCCCUAACAAGGGAGAGACCACGGAGCCUGGUGAGGGAGAUACACCUGCAAAGAGAACUUCAGUUCAGUAACAGCAACGGGCAUAGCCAGUGUGUUCACCAACUCAUGAGAGAUCACACUACCAACAUCGCCCGCUUGAUUUUCCCCAUCAACGAACAGCUUAUCCUGGAAACAAUCGUUUUAGUAGGCAUGAUGGCUCACGCCUAUAAUCCCAGAAUCUUGGGAGGCCGAGGCAGGAGGAUUGCUUGGGCCCAGGAGUUCGAGAUCAUCCUGAGCAAUAUGGUGAGGCCUUGUCUCUACAAGAAUAAAAAAAUAAGCUGGGCAUGGUGGCUCAUGCCUGUAUUCCCAGCUGCUCAGGGGUCUGAGAUGGGAGGAUUACUUGAGCCCAGGAAGUCAAGGCUGCAGUGA
rnacentral:lncRNA from 1 species